rnacentral:misc_RNA from 1 species
GUAAAAGUAAUCACGAAAGUAAAUCUAAAAAUAGACCACACGUUGAACAUAAUUAUUUUCAUACCUAACAAACUUUAUGUCAGCCACAUGCGAUAUAUGUCAAACAACAUGUAUUCUUCUUUAAAAGAAAAAUCAACUGCUUCCAACCCUAAAAAAGCAAUUUUUUUUUCUGCAUUUUUGUUUUCACAAGUUGGUAUUUGUGUAUGGAUUUAUCAAGUGCAAUUGCGUUCUUACAUUGCAAAUGAAAAUUUAUCAGAAUUAAAAAAUGCUAUACAACUUUUGCAAAAUAAUCUGAAUCGUAAUAAGGUCAAUGAAAUCAUUGUGUUAGGUCCAAAAAAUGAGAGUUUGUCAACCUUAACUCAGAGUCCUUACUCAAGCUUAGUUCCAAUAAAGUACAUUUUUUAUUUGGAAGAUAUUAAAAAAAUCUGGAAUGAUAUCAUUACAAAACGAUUCGUAUUUAAUAAUUCAUGUUGAUGGAUUUUAUCAAAUAAAUGCUCAGAUGCAGCUUGAUUAUAGACGAAAAGUGAGUUUAACCAGCUUUCAUCUUCGUAAAAAUGAUGAAGUCAUAGCAUCAACAAGAUGGAGUUCUAGUUCUGAUACAGGAGGAAUUAAUAUACUUAUAUAUGCAAAAAAUGGUGAUCGUUUAUCACUUUACUCUCCUUGGAUGAACGCUCAAUGGUUCAUUUCAAACAAAGUGACAUUUUUCUCUGCUCAUUAUUUAGGAUCUCUCUGAUUUAUAUUAUUUACCACGUGUUUCAUACGAUUUUCACAAUAUGAUUUAUAAUAUAAUAAUCCCGUUUAAUAUUUUAUAGGAGUCCAAAUAAGGAAUUUUUUAAAA